UACGUAGGUGGCAAGCGUUGUCCGGAUUUACUGGGCGUAAAGAGCGCGCAGGCGUCGUUCAAGUCGCGUGUGAAGGCCCCCGGCUCAACUGGGGAGGGUCACGCGAUACUGAUCGACUCGAAGGCAGGAGAGGGAAGUGGAAUUCCCGGUGUAGUGGUGAAAUGCGUAGAUAUCGGGAGGAACACCAGUGGCGAAGGCGACUUCCUGGCCUGUUCUUGACG
rnacentral:rRNA from 1 species